UACGUAGGGGGCAAGCGUUGUCCGGAUUUAUUGGGCGUAAAGAGCGUGUAGGCGGCUAGUUAAGUCCGCUGUGAAAACUCGAAGCUCAACUUCGAGCUGUCGGUGGAAACUAUCUGGCUAGAGUCCGGAAGAGGAGAGUGGAAUUCCUGGUGUAGCGGUGAAAUGCGCAGAUAUCAGGAAGAACACCCGUGGCGAAGGCGGCUUUCUGGGCCUAACCUGACGCUGAGACGCGAAAGCGUGGGGAGCGAACCGG
rnacentral:rRNA from 1 species